UGACCUUGGUCGGGACGUAGUGAAC
rnacentral:miRNA from 1 species